rnacentral:rRNA from 1 species
CAGUCGCCGCGGUAAUACGGAGGGGGCUAGCGUUGUUCGGAAUUACUGGGCGUAAAGCGCACGUAGGCGGAUAUUUAAGUCAGGGGUGAAAUCCCGCAGCUCAACUGCGGAACUGCCUUUGAUACUGGGUAUCUUGAGUAUGGAAGAGGUUAGUGGAAUUGCGAGUGUAGAGGUGAAAUUCGUAGAUAUUCGGAGGAACACCAGUGGCGAAGGCGGCUCACUGGACCAUUACUGACGCUGAGGUGCGAAAGCGUGGGGAGCAAACAGGAUUAGAUACCCCAGUAGUCCCUGUCUCUUAUAC